rnacentral:rRNA from 1 species
UACUCGAGUGGCGAACGGGUGAGUAACACGUGGGUGAUCUGCCCUGCACUUCGGGAUAAGCUUGGGAAACUGGGUCUAAUACCGGAUAGGAACCAUCUUUAGUGCGGUGGUUGGAAAGUUUUUUCGGUGUAGGAUGAGCUCGCGGCCUAUCAGCUUGUUGGUGGGGUAAUGGCCUACCAAGGCGGCGACGGGUAGCCGGCCUGAGAGGGUGUACGGCCACAUUGGGACUGAGAUACGGCCCAG